GACAGAGGGUGCAAACGUUGUUCGGAUUUACUGGGCGUAAAGCGCGUGUAGGCGGCUUUGCAAGUCGGAUGUGAAAGCCCACGGCUCAACCGUGGAAGUGCAUCCGAAACUGCAUGGCUUGAGUCUCGGAGAGGAAGGUGGAAUGCUUGGUGUAGAGGUGAAAUUCGUAGAUAUCAAGCAGAACACCUGCGGCGAAGGCGGCCUUCUGGACGAUGACUGACGCUGAGACGCGAAAGCCAGGGGAGCAAACGGG
rnacentral:rRNA from 1 species